GGGGGGAGGGAGAUCGCAGGCAGGAAUCGCACGCGCAAGCGCCAUUUCGCAAACAUGGCCAGCCAUCUUGCGAUGCGUAGGGUUCGAACGUGGCGUGGUAGGGGUUGGAAUAUAACCGUUCUUAGUAUCGAACUGCGCUUCAGUAUCUACGGAGACAGAGACAGGCAUACGACGUCCUUUUAACACCUCCGCAAAAUCGCUACGCGUUUCUUAAUUUUUCCUCCUUUUAUAACCUAUCGGAAUAUUUUGAGAAAUUUCCUUUCUCCUUAUCUUUUUUUUUUUUUUUUUUUUUACUUUUAUUUUUUAGUUUUAAAUUUUCGUUGAUCUUUUUUAUUUUCCUUCUUUCUCUUUUUCUUUUUCUUCCGUUCAAAAGUUCCGUUCGAGUUUAACGAAGUUUGUACGGCCACGCGUGUAAAUUGAUCGCGCCAGUUGCGAGUCGGUGUGAAAAUGAAACGAUGUACAUCGCGAUCGACGUCUCGAAGGAAAUGGAAUAUAUCUUUCUUCGAAGUUUUUUACGAUCUCUUUGUUCCUCAUUUCUUUUUUCUCUCCACCUCUUGGUCAGCCUAUUUCUCUCGAAUUCUCUUGUUCUCGAUGAUCUUUCGAUCGGGCUACGAAUCCUCGCGUGAUUGGAAGUCGUUGGUACACUUUGUGCGAAAUUGGAGGGCUGGUUUGUCGAAAGUCGAAUGGAACAGGAAUGGUCCAACGUCGUUUCGAAGCUUUUGGAUCGUUUGCGUGCUCUUCGAUCAAGCCUCUUUGUCUUUCCAGCUGUUUUCUCGAAAAAAUUUCCCUAAUUCUUCGGAACUUUAGAAAUUGUUACUUGUUAUUUAACGAAAUGAAAAUUGUUGAUCGAUAUUUAGUGAUUUACAGUAAGAAAUUUUCUCUUGUUCGAACGGAAAGUUUUUCUACAACUUCUGGAUAAAUUUAUUAUGAAGUUUUAAGAUUGUUUCUUAGACUUGAAAUUAAUUUAAAAAUUUUCUUAGUAGAAUUGACUCGCUCGUUGUAAGUUUCCAAGAUUAAUUCGAACAAAGUUGAUUAAAAAGAAACUGAACUGAAAUCUCGAUUUCUUUCGUUCAAUUUAAAAUUUCGAGAAAUUUUCACGUGAGAGUUGAAAUAGAAUUCAUCCAUAUCAGUUUUUUAAUUAAAAAAGGACUUGAAUAUCGAUUUGAAAAUUCUUUAUUGCUAAAUUUUUCAAAAGAAUUUUGUGAUCAAAAGAGAUCUAAAGUAAGUUUUCUAAAUAAAAAAUUUGCUCAGUUAAAUAGAAUUUGAAUUGAUUUUGAAAAAUUGUAAAAUGAUUCUCGCAAUUCUCUCGAAGAACUCGAAGCAAUCGAUCUCUUUUUCCAAAAACAUCGUUUCUAAUUACAAAAAUUUCUGGACGCCGGUGUGACUGGUUAUUUGAUAAAAGCGUGUAUAAAGCGUGCGCUAAAAACCGGGUCAUCCACUUCUCGCGAAAAAUCGAUACGAAAUGUGGGAACACGGUUCUCGGUCUGACCAUUGGUUGACUCGUUUCACUUGUGCUUAGUGGACAGGGACAUGUCUCGUCUUCGAUCGUUGUGAUUCACGUCGUUAAUCAUCGGUUGCUCUACUUUAUCAUUAGAAAAUUUCAACCAGAGAUCUAAUUAUACAGUUCAUCGAAGAGGAAAAGGAAAUUUGAAGUUGGAAAGAAACUUUUGAAGGGCGAUCUCAAUUACUUAAUUCUUCUUAAUGAAAAGUAGAGAAUACUUUUAAAAGUAUUUCUAGAAAUUGUGAAAAGAAAAUUUUACUUUUUCCUUUUCUUUUUAAUAUUUUCAUUUUCUUUAUAACAAUUUUACAUAAUUAAAUUAAUUAAAUUAAAAGUAUCUAAAAUUGUUUUAUUCGAUUCUAUUUGUUAAAAUUCUAAAGAUCAAAUGUCAAUGUUAAUAAUAUUCAAUUUUUUUUUAUAUAUUAUUGCUUUCACUAAAGAUAGAAUUUCUUCGAAAAAUCUAUCCAUUACGAAUUUAACUAAGUGCAUAUAUAUAUAUAUACGAUAAGAUAAUAAAGCAAAAUGCAGAAUCCAGGUGUAUCUGUUUGAUCGAGAAAUUUCAAUGUGACACAAUUCGUGGUUUAGGCGAUGUUCUCUACCUGUUGCACGCUGCUUUCAUAGGAAAUUGCCUUACCGACAUAUUGAACAUUGUCAUUCCUGUCUAUGGACAAGCAACCUUGUGCAGAAAUCCUACCACUGUAGGAUUACAACGCCACCUUUUUCCCCCUUCCCCUCCUCCUUCAUCGUUAUCGGCCUCGUAUACAUGAUAAAGCAUAACUCGUUUUAACUCUCAUUUUUAUACGUAUUUGCACCCGUCACGGUGCAAUUUAUCAUCAUACCCUUCGUUUAAAGAUUAUUAGUAUGCUCGAUGAUGAUAUUGUUCCAAGGGCCAAUCAUUUAGUUGUAAACGUGAUAUGGAAAAUAUUUGAGAUCCUGGAAAGUGAUCUUUAAGUCUCUCGAUUAUUUAGAAGUUUAAAAAUUGUUACUCUACGUAAACAAAAAUGUAUAAAGAGGAUAUUUUUUUAUUCUAUCUAAUGUGAAAUUAUUCUACGUUUGAGGAGUUGAAUUAUUAUAUAAAUAUGGAGAUCAUGAAAAGGGGUCGCUGUUGGUUCUUCUCGAUUUCUAUUUUUCCAAGAGAUUUUUUUUUUCUUUUGGAAAGGAAAAUUAGAUCGCGAAGAAAUUCCGAGGAAUAUUCGUAGAAUUAAUUUUCUUUUAGUUUGUGUGCCCUAAAAAAAGAAAAAAAAAGAAGGAAUUAUUUUGAUCAAAAGAGAGAAGUUAUGGAAAUAUGCUGCAACGAAAUCAACAAAUUUUCAUCCCUCUAAAUCUACCUCUUGAUUACUUUCGUUGAAGCAAAAAAAAAUCCUCUCUCGAUUUGCCCAAUAUCUUAAUUAAGAGAGAACUAUUCAUCCAUUAAAAAUCUCAGGACGUAAUAUCAGAAUUGAUAUAAUUCCCGAUUUCCUUUGAUUUUAUCCUUUGAUUAUUUUCAUCGAAAAUUGAAUUGGUCCUAAUGAUAUACGAAAUGUUGUAAUCGAGAGAGAAAAACCUAAAAUUCUGAGGAUCAAAUUUUCCAAUUUUCUUAAUUUUCUCGAUUAUAUUUCAACCAGAAAGUUGAAGAAACGAAACUCGGCUAUUCUAAAUCGAAAUACGUAUUUUUCUCUCCUCCCAUUUCUUUUCAUGAUUCUUUCUUUACCGAAAAUCAGAUCAAAAUUAAUACUAAUAUACGACGAUCUUUGAUGUGAAAAAAAAAUUUUCGCUGUUCAAAAGACAUUCACACGUCUUGUUGUUUCACACGUUUCGUUCUAAUAUGAACGCGCAUCGCGUCAGGGAAAUUAAUUCUGCUUCGUAGAAGGAUACUAAGUGUCUACCUGUUGCACCACGCUGUCAGACGAAGUGGUCUCGAUCGUUUUUCGAGAAUCGCGAAAGUGAAGGGAGAAAUAGGCAGAAAGAUAGAGAAAGAAAAGGAAAGAAGGAGAGAGAGAAAGAGAAAGAGAGAGAGAAAAAGAGAGAGAGAGAGCACUUGGCGAAUGAAAAAUUUUACGCGUCUACGCGUAGGAAGAAACCUACUGGUACGUCGCUGCCUUCGCAACUUGUUGCUGGUCGCUCAGAGAUCUCUCCACUUCUCGAUUUCCGGUGACGCCUCUUGCACACAGGUGCUGUGGGAAGAGAAUUUUCAUCGUAUCCGUAACACUCAUUCUUAGAUGAUCGAUCGUUUAAUAUUGUGAUAUUUUGUGAACGACAGAAACUUACCUGUGGACACAAGUUACGCAAUUAUGGAUCUUUAUAUUUUUCAAGACUUACAACCACAUUCUCUGAAGUUUCACCAGCAACGGUAAGUGCUAAAACCAAUUUCCCA